GUCCACGCUGUAAACGUUGCGAACUAGGUGUCGGGGGUAUUCACCCCUCCGGUGCCGAAGCUAACGUCUUAAGUUCGCCGCCUGGGAAGUACGGCCGCAAGGCUAAAACUCAAAGGAAUUGACGGGGGCCCGCACAAGCGGUGGAGCAUGUGGUUCAAUUCGAUGCAACGCGAAGAACCUUACCUGGGCUUGACAUCCCCGAGAAUCUCUCAGAAAUGAGGGAGUGCCCGUAAGGGAACUCGGAGACAGGUGCUGCAUGGCUGUCGU
rnacentral:rRNA from 1 species